AAAACGGCGGCCAGGCUCGCGGCACUCGUCCUGCUCCCGGGGGCUGAACCCGCAGCAGCUGGGAUCCAGACGGUUGUGAAUCUGCCACAAGAAGGAGAAGAAGAACCGAUGAGUUGGCAGCUUACUGUAGAUUUUGCAAGUGACAUGCGGAACAUCGGAUUGGAUUGUUGAGAAUCCGGUCCCGACAGGACAAGACUUGCAUUUCUACAACACGGUGACCGAUCUUCUCGCUGAAUUGGACGAGCGGUUUGAAUUGGAAGCCCCGGAAAACCUGUCAUGACGUCUGUGAGAAGCAAUCACGGAGCAGUCGUGGGAAGAAACAAAAUGGCCACUCCGGAGGCACAAAACGGACUGAAAUGAGCUCAUAGUGUUGUAUACAUACACUGAAAGUCAUUCGGCAGCGACCCAUCGUUGUGGUCACACAUGCAGUAGUACCCUGAGAUACUGCACAAGUGACCCAACUUGUCAAUUUUCGGAGGCAGCGUGGGAUCGAUUCCCGCUCAGUGAUGGUGUCAAUAUCUGCCCUGUGACUGACCAGCGACUAGUUCAGGGUGUGGUCCGCCUUUCGCCCAAAGCUAGUGGGAUGGGCUCCAGCUUUCCCACUACCCCUGGGAGGAUAAGCGGCUUGGUGAUGGACGGCGGAGCAGCCUGACCCCGGCUUCGGGGCGACGUUACGAAUCCAGCAUCUCUGCCGGAGAGACCUCUGGUACUCGGCCCACGUUAGGCUCACGCCAUCCGGG